rnacentral:rRNA from 1 species
GUGUCUAUUGUACCCKGUUGCUUCGGCGGGCCCGCCGCUUGUCGGCCGCCGGGGGGGCGCCUCUGCCCCCCGGGCCCGUGCCCGCCGGAGACCCCAACACGAACACUGUCUGAAAGCGUGCAGUCUGAGUUGAUUGAAUGCAAUCAGUUAAAACUUUCAACAAUGGAUCUCUUGGUUCCGGCAUCGAUGAAGAACGCAGCGAAAUGCGAUAACUAAUGUGAAUUGCAGAAUUCAGUGAAUCAUCGAGUCUUUGAACGCACAUUGCGCCCCCUGGUAUUCCGGGGGGCAUGCCUGUCCGAGCGUCAUUGCUGCCCUCAAGCCCGGCUUGUGUGUUGGGUCGCCGUCCCCCUCUCCGGGGGGACGGGCCCGAAAGGCAGCGGCGGCACCGCGUCCGAUCCUCGAGCGUAUGGGGCUUUGUCACAUGCUCUGUAGGAUUGGCCGGCGCCUGCCGACGUUUUCCAACCAUUCUUUCCAGGUUGACCUCGGAUCAGGUAGGGAUACCCGCUGAACUUAAGCAUAUCAAUA